rnacentral:rRNA from 1 species
CCCCAGACUCCUACGGGAGGCAGCAGUGGGGAAUAUUGGACAAUGGGGGGAACCCUGAUGCAGCGACGCCGCGUGAGCGAUGAAGUAUUUCGGUAUGUAAAGCUCUAUCAGCAGGGAAGAAGGUGACGGUACCUGACUAAGAAGCCCCGGCUAACUACGUGCCAGCAGCCGCGGUAAUACGUAGGGGGCAAGCGUUAUCCGGAUUUACUGGGUGUAAAGGGAGCGUAGACGGCGAUGCAAGCCAGAUGUGAAAGCCCGGGGCUCAACCCCGGGACUGCAUUUGGAACUGUGUGGCUGGAGUGUCGGAGAGGCAGGCGGAAUUCCUAGUGUAGCGGUGAAAUGCGUAGAUAUUAGGAGGAACACCAGUGGCGAAGGCGGCCUGCUGGACGAUGACUGACGUUGAGGCUCGAAAGCGUGGGGAGCAAACAGGAUUAGAUACCCUUGUA